CCCAGGGCACGGAGAGGGGCUGGCUCUGGAGGUGAGAGGGCAGCAAAGGAUACCCUCCUCCAUCUACAUCACUGACAAAGUUGAGUGAAUUCUUCUUCCACCAGGUUUUUAUACUCAGAAAAAGAAUCUCAAGAUGAAAAAAGUUGCUCCAACAUUAAUAGAAUCAACCCAAUAUACUUAAAUAGGGCCACGGAGUUCUCUCCUCUCCUCACCAGUUUGGAAUUAUGCAGCGUUAGACAUCCCAUUGAAGCACCUUCCUCUGAUUGGAUGAAGACGUGGAGGUGGAAGCCUGGCAAGAUAUAUGCUUUGUUUAAAACGGUGAGUCAAGCUGCAAGAAAAAACCCACGAUCCCUCAACUUGAGGACUGGGUCAAGCAUGGGCUGGACUGGACAUGGCCAAUGGAAUCUGAUAAUAAGUCUUCACUAUAUAAACUGAUGCAUAAGCAAAAAUACCUCUCUUACUGGCUGGACUCUGUCACGUUGACAAUAGGAUAGCUGGAAUUACCGAAGCCACCCGAGGCCACAAACCAUGCUGAAAACGGCCAAGUGGGAAGGCCUGGAUCCUGGAUCACCUUUCUAAGUCACUGGAUUGACCAAGCCAGGAAUUGUCCUUUUGUUGUUCUUUCUAUGUCGGGGGGUGGGGGUGAUUUUUUUCAUUUCUUUAAGCUACUUGUUUGUUGAGAUUUGUGUUUCCAGGAGCCCGAAGCAUCCAGAUGCUGCAGUCCUUCGAUCCCUGCCACCUACCAGAGGUACAGCUCACCUUGAUGAUUAUUCUGAACCACUGAUGAUUUCCAUAAGUACCAACAAGCCACAUACAGAAGAGGAGGUACAAAUCCACCGUUAGGAAAUUCUCACAGCGAACUGCUCUACACUGGAAGAAACAGAAGCUCGGGGAGGUUGGUUUCUUCUAGUUUGCCUCAUGACACACCAGUAGUGUGUGGCAGGUUUGAAUAGAGGGUCCUAGCCCUUUCCAUAACUUCACAUGGUCUCUGCUCCUCAUGGGUUCCUCUGUUCCCACACUGAACCCAACAAAUGAAAUCAUGCCAUGCGUCUUGAGAUGUGAUGCUGUCAUUUCUUUCAAUUCCCCGUGCUUCGGGUGGUCAUACAAAUCUAUAUGUGUGUGUUAACGCUCAUAGAACUGAACAUUAAAAAAAAUGUCAAAGAGAAAAUACAAAAAUAAGUUUUUCAGCUUCACAUUUGUCUAUAUCCCAUUUUUCU